rnacentral:lncRNA from 1 species
CAUAACUGUGGAUUUUUAAUUGAUUUGAUUUACAUAUUCAUAAUAUGAAUUUUUUAUUUUUAAGGCCUCACUUAGGACUCCUAUGAAGAUAUAAAGACUGAUAAAUGAAAUAACAAGAAUGAUAACAAAACAUUUAUAUAACAUUUUGAGUCAUUUAUGCUGCCCUGGAGAAUGUCUAUUGCAGAGACUAAAUGAGAAGGGUAUUCCAACUACAUGUUCAGUCAUGUAUAGAAAUGAAAUUGGAAAAUACAACUAAUAAAUGGAUAUAUAGCUCCUACUUUCAACUGACAUUGCACUAAAAGAAAAAGUAUGUGAAGAAAUAUUUUGGGAUUCUGCUCAGGAUAAAAACAUGGAAAAAUUGAGCAUGCUUUGGGGAAAAAAAUCCACAACUAUUCCUGCAUUUAAAGGAUGGCAUUCUGAGUAUGGAAUUUAUAUUUCAUUGAAAUAAAUUCUGCUUCAGCUCAAAAUAAUUUUAAUAA